rnacentral:rRNA from 1 species
AGAAUCAACGCUGGCGGCGUGCCUAACACAUGCAAGUCGAACGAGAAAGUGGAGCAAUCCAUGAGUAAAGUGGCGACCGGGUGAGUAACACGUGACUAACCUACCUCCGAGUGGGGAAUAACUCCGGGAAACCGGGCUAAUACCGCAUAACGAUCGCAAGAUCAAAGCAGCAAUGCGCUUGGAGAGGGGGUCGCGGCUGAUUAGCUAGUUGGCGGGUAACGGCCCACCAAGGCGAAGAUCGGUA